AAAGGCUAGGAUUUAUCAUUACUAUGUACCUGUCUUUCUCUGGUGUGAACAGCAGAUUACUGAGCAUCAGUCGAAGUUUAAAGAUGGAGAAGAUAUACCUCCUUUAGUGGAUGUCUCUUCCAAAGCAAUCAUCAAUAGAGCUGAAUUGAGUUCUAAUUAUAGGACAUCCAGUGGCUCUGAUAUGACAUUGUCAAGUUCUGAUGACAGUUCCUAAGAGGUUCAGGCUUGCAAAGGACACAACAUUUGG